CAUGGACUGUCAUUAGUUAAAUUGUUAUGUUGGUACAAGUGUUUUAGACACUGGUCACGCUGAUUCCAUUCCACAUAGCAUCAAUCCAGACGCACUGUGGAGUUCCACUUCAAAUGGGAACAAGCCGAGAUGGUCCAAACUACGUGCAGCACUUCAUUUACGAUAGAGGUGGGGUGGAGUUAUGAGUUACAAGGUUUAGUCACAAGCUCUACUUAAUACUUUUCAUUGGUUAGAUAUUUGCGAAACUCACAGACAGAUGUAAAUGGUGACAGACAGUAAUGAUUUAUGAAAAAAAAUUAGAAAGCAACAAUAUAUCAUAAUUUAUAUAAGUGUUUUCUGAGGACCCCCAGUUGGCUCAAUGUAGUGCUUGGGGCCUGUUAAAGUAUUGGUUUAGACCAAUAGGGCCUGUUUUUUUUUUUUUGUUUGUUUUUUUUGUUUUGUGUAAGCUGUGAUGGAAAUUUUGAACUAAUUAAUAAUGGACUAAUAUUUCUUUUCUUCUACAGGCCUAAUAAGCUAACUUUGAAAUAGAGAAAUAGUCACUAGGACUGAGUGUUGUAACAAGUGGGAAAAUUCUGCUGUGCUGGCUAGAUAGCAUCCUUCUAAGGAUAAAAAAUAGUCUUUGAAAAACUGUUCUAUCCUGUUGAGUAAUCUGAACUUUUAACCCGGUGAUAUUUUUUGAUGAUCUUGUGAUUCAGUUGUUCUAAUCUAAAUUUACUCUGCCAGUAAGCGGGACAGAGGAACUGAGAUGUUUUUCUUAAAUCUGAACCAAUCAUAUUGUGACUGAUGAUAAUGAGUAAUAGAUCAUGCCAUACUGACUGUGAAAUGUAUCUGAAAUCCUAUAAAACCUGCUGUAUUUCUUUGUUCGGAGAGAGAUUCUCUGGAAUUGAUGAGAACUCUCCCGGCCGUGAUUAAAGCUUUGAAGGACAAAAACUGGAGUCUCUGGUUAUUGCUGCAGCAAGUCAGGUUAGGGAAUACUAGGUUUUUGAGGGUCAAGACAUUGACCAAGAUAUUAUUGAGUAUCGAUUUGGAGACGCUCCGAGUACUAUUGAGUGUCGACUGGAGACGCUCCGAAAGAUCAGGAAAUUUAUUGAAUGUCGACUGGAGACGCAGGGGUGUCAAUUAGGAGACGCCCCAGGAACAGGUAACUUAAGUCAGUAUUCAAAGUAUGCAGGAAAACGGUCAGGAAACUGGAAGAGAUGAAAAAUGAAGGAGAAAGAAUAAAAGGAAAUUUAGAGAGGGGAUGGAAAAGUUUCAGGGGGUCAAAAGGUUGUCUAGUGUGACGGACUUCUUGUAACAUUGGAUACAUCACUUCAUGCCAAAAGAGCCGAUGUGCGUCAAGGAUAGAAGGGAGAUUGGAAAAGAGCAUUGUGGGGCUGACCUAAGAAAGAAAGAAAGAAAGAAAGAAAG